GUGCACGUCUCUCGGAGCAUUAGAAUGGCGGACGGGUGAGUAACACGUGGGAAUAUGCCUUUCGGUACGGAGCAACGCCUGGAAACGGGUGCUAAUACCGUAUACGCCCCCUGGGGGAAAGAUUUAUCGCCGAAAGAUUAGCCCGCGCUGGAUUAGCUAGAUGGUGAGGUAAGAGCUCACCAUGGCGACGAUCCAUAGCUGGUUUGAGAGGAUGAUCAGCCACACUGGGACUGAGACACGGCCCAGACUCCUACGGGAGGCAGCAGUGGGGAAUAUUGGACAAUGGGGGCAACCCUGAUCCAGCCAUGCCGCGUGAGUGAAGAAGGCCCUAGGGUUGUAAAACUCUUUCAGCAGGGAAGAUAAUGACUGUACCUGCAGAAGAAGCUCCGGCUAACUCCGUGCCAGCAGCCGCGGUAAUACGGAGGGAGCUAGCGUUGUUCGGAAUUACUGGGCGUAAAGCGCGCGUAGGCGGCUUGGAAAGUUGGAGGUGAAAGCCCGGGGCUCAACCCCGGAACUGCCUCCAAAACUCCCAAGCUCGAAUCCUGGAGAGGUGAGUGGAAUUCCUAGUGUAGAGGUGAAAUUCGUAGAUAUUAGGAAGAACACCAGUGGCGAAGGCGGCUCACUGGCCAGGUAUUGACGCUGAGGUGCG
rnacentral:rRNA from 1 species